GCAGGCAGGGAAGGGGAUAUUUGAGUACUGUCCUUGAUAUAUCACCUAAUGUCUUUCUUUCAGGACCAUACAAACAGAGGAAUAUUUCAGAAGCAACUUAAGCAAAUAUGGGAAUAUCUGAUAAGGAAGAAGAAAGUGAAUGAGGAAAACGUCAUUCUGGAGAAGGAAAACAAGAAGUUCUGUGAACUCAGUCAAAGACUGAAGGAAAUAGAGGCUACACAGGAACAACAAAUCAUGGAGGAAUAGAAAAAGUGGCUGGCCAUGUUAUGUAGCCAAAGUAGAUUCCUAACAGCCAUAAUUACUAAACUGAAGGCAAAGAUGGAGAAACCAGAUGUAGAAAUGCUACAGGAUGUGGCAGAGACAUUGGAAAGGAGUCAUAUUGAACUGAAUUUACAACCUUUUGUACCAACUGUGGAUGCUUCAUAUAUCACUGAAGUGACCAAAUUAUUAAAAAUAAU